rnacentral:tRNA from 1 species
GGGACCGUAGCUCAGUCUGGGAGAGCACUAGUUUGCUUAUCUAGUUGUCCAGGGUUCGAAUCCCUGCGGUCUCA